ACAGCCCAAAAUUCAGCCCAUAGCGGAAUCUCCUUAUAAGAAGCUGAACAAUACACUCUCCGCCGGCGAAGAUCAUCUUCUUCCAUUUCGUUUCUUCCCAGAGAUCCUAUCCUCACGGUGCCGCUGCCUCUAGUCAGAAUGGAAACCCUAGGCUCAUUAGAUGCAUCAGAUGAAUAUCCUCCCACUAGAAUCCUGGUGCGCCCAAAUAGGAAGCCUCGCAUUGUGAUAGAAGACUAUAUGCCUGCUCUGGAAGCGUAUCUGCCCAGAGAAGCGGAACCAAUUGAUAUGAAUUUGAUACGGGAAAUCAACGAGAGAUUGGCAUCUAUGAUGGAAGAUGUGAGGGUGAUGAAGCGGCGGCUGACUCGAAUCAUGAUACUGCAGUUGCUUUGCUUGUUGGUUGCAAUAUCUGGGUUGGUUGUCAAACUGUUUAGGAAGUAGUAAGUAGCAGUGUUGUAUCAUAUUGGCAGAGUUUUUAUGGGAUGUGUUGUGUAGCUUAACAUGAGUCAUUUGUUAAUCUUGAAAUGACCCUGCUAGGAUGUAUGUGGAGAUUUGAGAUGUAAGAAUGACUAUCUUCUGUUAAUAGUAGCAGUUUGCUGACCUUAAUUGUGCAAUGGACUUGGCUGCUUCUGUA